rnacentral:tRNA from 1 species
GCCCCGUUAGCUCAACUGGAUAGAGUACUGGUCUUCGGAACCAGUGAUACGGGUUCGAAUCCCAUGCGGGGCA